GCCUCGUUAGCGCAGUAGGCAGAAUGUCAGUCUCAUAAUCUGAAGGUUGCGAGUUCGAUCCUCACACAGGGCA
rnacentral:tRNA from 1 species